AUGAUGCGGCUUCAAAAUCGACGAUCGGCUCCACUAGACUUGAUCUAUACUAUUAAAAGUAUUUGAAAACUAAAUUUCAUAAUUUGUUGACAACAUUUCGCUAGUGAUCAAAAGGUCUUAAAAUUGACAAUUUUAAUGGUCGACGUGAUGCGUUUGGUGUAGAUCAAUCCAAAUCCGAUGAAAUUUUAAUAAAAAUUAUUUAAAGUAAGAUCAGUACCUCUGUUUCACUAUUUAAAGUAAGAUCAGUACCUCUGAUCUUAAAUUCAUGUCUUUUUCAUCAUUUUUUAUGAGAUUUUUAUAUUCAGCCGUUCAUUUUUAGACUACUUGUUUGAUAGGUAAAUGAUGUCGAACAAUUAUGAAAUUUAGUUUCCAAAUAUUUUUAAUAGUGUAGAUUAAAUCUAAUGGAGCCGAUCGUCAAUUUGAAAGCCGCAUCAUUGAAAACAAUUUAGUAGCACGGAGGCCUCCGUACUACCGAUAGUAUACUAGCCUAGCUCUUUUAAUUAUAUAUAAUAAUAUAUAUUAUGUAUUUUAGUUAUAUAUACAGAGAGUUUAGGUUAUUGAGAAUAUUAAUUGGUCCACAAAACUAAACCAGCAAAAUUCUACUAAUUACUCUCUUUCCCUCUCUUUCACUUACUCACAGAAUCGCUUUCCCUAAAUUAUUUUUCUUAAUAUUAUAAUACCGUAUUUCAUGCAUUU
rnacentral:lncRNA from 1 species